GACGUAGGGCGCGAGCGUUGUCCGGAUUUAUUGGGCGUAAAGAGCUCGUAGGCGGCUUGUCGCGUCGUUCGUGAAAACCUGGGGCUCAACCCCAGGCUUGCGGUCGAUACGGGCAGGCUAGAGUUCGGUAGGGGAGACUGGAAUUCCUGGUGUAGCGGUGAAAUGCGCAGAUAUCAGGAGGAACACCGGUGGCGAAGGCGGGUCUCUGGGCCGAUACUGACGCUGAGGAGCGAAAGCGUGGGGAGCGAACAGG
rnacentral:rRNA from 1 species